rnacentral:rRNA from 1 species
GUCCACGCCCUAAACGAUGGGUACUAGACGUCGGGAAGCUUGUCUUCUUGGUGUCGCAGCUAACGCAAUAAGUACCCCGCCUGGGGAGUACGGUCGCAAGAUUAAAACUCAAAGGAAUUGACGGGGGCCCGCACAAGCGGUGGAGCAUGUGGUUCAAUUCGAUGCAACGCGAAAACCUUACCUGCCCUUGACAUCUGGGGAAUCCUGCAGAGAUGCUGGAGUGCCGCAAGGAACCCCAAGACAGGUGCUGCAUGGCUGUCGU